UAAAUUGUACAUGUAGGUAGGGGUAAAGUGAGUGUGCAUAGAUUUUAAAUAGCGAGUAGCAGCAGUCUUUUAUAGCUUGGGGGUAGAAGCUGUUAAGGAGCCUUUUGGACCUAAACUUGGCGCUCCGGUACCGCUUGACGUGCGGUAGCAGAGCGAACAGUCACGCUUAGAUGGAGUUUUGGCUGCCAGAACCAGUCUACCUCUGAAAAUAACAUACGGUACCUAAAUGAGUAGCGCUCGUCUCGUUAAGAGUCCACCUUGGGCUACUAAGUUAGCUAACUAGCCUGGUCUCUGUACACUGAUAUAGCUAGCUAGCCUUGUAGCUUGUGAAGAAAUCAUUGAUGCAAGAUCCUUGCCAAAUUAUGAUCGUAUGAUCUUGCAUCUCUGGAAAGAAACACUGAUCUGAAUUGCAUACAGACGUCAGAACAUUCUAGGGUUGCUUCUCCUACUUAGGAUGAGGUGUGUGACCCUAACAAUUUAAGAGAUCCAGCACUGAAACUUGUUGCACUGUGUGUUUACCGAGGAGACCUGUGGCAAUGGAAUCUCUACCACCAGAAAAAUCAAAACUAGCCUGUCAAGUUCAGAAUCCAGGGCAGAUGCUUUGGAGCAGAAUUUUGCUGGGAUCCCUGCUUGUCUUCAGUUGCCUGGUAGCUUCUGUGUCAUCUGAGGAUUACUAUAAGUUACUGAAGGUGUCCAGAGAAGCCACAACCAGAGAGAUACGACAAGCCUUCAAAAAGCUGGCCCUGACCAUGCAUCCAGAUAAAAACCCACAUGAUGAAACUGCCCACGACAAGUUCCUGAAAGUAACCCGGGCAUAUGAAGUUCUGAAGGAUGACGAUCUGAGAAAGAAGUAUGACAAGUAUGGCGAGAAGGGUCUGCAGGACGAGCAGCAGGGAGGAGGACGAUAUGAGAGCUGGAACUACUAUAGAAAUGAAUUUGGUAUCUACGAUGACGACCUAGAGAUUGUCACUUUAGAUAGGGGAGACUUCGAUGCAGCAGUGAACUCUGGGGAACUCUGGUUUGUCAACUUCUACUUCCCUCGUUGUCAUCACUGUCACGAGCUGGCUCCCAUGUGGAGGGAGUUUGCUAAGGAGAUGGAUGGAGUGAUCAGGAUAGGAGCAGUGAACUGCGGAGACAACAACAGACUGUGUCGCAGCAAAGGCAUCAACAGCUACCCCAGCCUCUACAUUUACAAGGCUGGAAUGAAUCCAGAGAAAUACUUUGGAGAUAGGUCCAAGGAGAGUUUGAAUAAGUUUGGCAUGCAGUUUGUGAAGAGCAGAGUUACAGAGCUGUGGCAAGGCAAUGUCUUCACUGAGAUUGAGGCAGCGUUUUCAUCGGGAGUUGGAUGGCUGAUCACCUUCUGUUCUGACUCAGGAGACUGUCUAGAGUCACAGACGAGGCAAAAAUUAGCAGGAAUGUUGGAGGGUUUAGUGAAUGUGGGCUGGAUGGACUGCUCUACACAGCCUGAGUUGUGUGACAGCUUUGAGGUGACCACCAGCACAACAGCCUUCUUCCCCCCCGGCAGGUCAUUGAAGAGCAAGGGCAGCAUGCUGUUUCUGCAGAGUUUGGACACCAGAGAGAUCUAUGGAGAGGUGAUGCAGUGUCUGCCUGACCUGGUGGCUCUUACUAAGGACACCUUUAAGAGUAAACUGGCCCAUCGGUGGCUGGUCAGUUUUUCCUUUGGACAGAAGACCACAGCGUCUCAUGAGUAUAAGAAGCUCAAGGCUCUUCUGAAGGGGGCCCACAUACAUGUGGGAAAGGUGGACUGCCUUACUGAGUCAGAACUGUGUGGCUCCCUCUACAUUCAAAAGCCCUGCAUCGCGGUCUUUAAAGGCCUUGGGAUUCAUGACUUUGAGAUACACCAUGGGAAGGAUGUGCUAUAUAACAUUGUAGCGUUUGCUAAGGAGAGUGUCAGCGCCCAUGUCACCACUCUCAGACCAGAGAACUUCCCCAGUGAUGGAAAGGAGCCCUGGAUAGUUGACUUCUUUGCUCCUUGGUGUCCGCCCUGUCGGGCUCUCCUCCCUGAGCUGAGGAAAGCCUCGAUCCAGCUGUUUGGUCAGAUGAAGUUUGGAACACUGGACUGUACCGUGCACGAGGGCCUUUGCAGCGUGUAUAAUAUCCAUGCCUACCCGACCACGGUCAUCUUUAACAAGUCCUCCAUCCAUGAGUACGAGGGACAUCACUCUGCUGAUGGAAUCCUGGAGUUCAUACAGGACUUGGUCAACCCCACGGUGGUGACCAUGGACCAAGACAGCUUUGCAGAGCUGGUAAAGAGGAGGAAACACAGUGAGACCUGGAUGGUGGAUUUCUAUGCCCCAUGGUGUGGGCCCUGUCAGGCCUUGCUGCCUGAGUGGAGGAGGAUGGCACGGGCGCUCAAUGGUAUGAUAAAGGUGGGGACGGUGGACUGUCAGAAACACCACUCCUUCUGCCAGGGAGAGGGGGUCAGAGGCUACCCUGAGAUACGCCUCUACCCACAGAACGCCAACCGACGAGACGUAUACCAGAGUUACAACGGCUGGCAUCGAGAUGCUCACUCUCUCAAAGUCUGGGCUAUGGGGCACUCUUCCAAGAGCGUCAGUGGAUCUGACUCCAGAGGACUUCAGGAACAAGGUGAUGGGAGGGAAGGAUCACUGGGUGGUGGACUUCUAUGCUCCGUGGUGUGGAACAUGCCAGCACUUUGCCCCAGAGUUUGAGGUCCUCGCUCGGAUGGUGACAGGAAGCUUGAGGGCAGGGAAAGUAGACUGUCAGGCCCACUAUCAAACCUGUCAGUCAGCUGGAAUCACAGCCUAUCCCAGCGUCCGAUUCUACCCACACCUGGGCACCAAGAAGCAUGACCAGGGAGGGGAGCACGUCAACAGCCGGGAUGCUACUAACAUCGCCAACCUCCUCCGUCAGAGGCUCCAGCAGCUAUCUCCAUGGUUACAUGGCAAGGCCGCCAACUUCAAGGAUGAAUUGUGAGUUCAAGAGGGUCUAUUCGAGAGAUCCAAGAUUCACUGAGAUGCUUUUCCUUAAGGGAAAUGUAAACAACGAACAGUCAAACCUACACACUUAACAAACAUACUCUGAGAAGAGAGGUUUACUGCCAAAGAACAUUUGCAAAGAAGACGUUAUCGAGCAGUUAUCUCAGUAUUGUCGGUCUGUCAAAACAAGAUGUAUUUAAUUUCUCUAAACUGAUUCAAUGAUUAGGAAAGACUGACUCACUGUCCUGUCGGAAAUGUUAAUAGUUAUAGAGGUGGAAUGUGUCUGUACGGUAGGUGCUGACCUGCCUGGUAUCUGAAUGUACUGUCUGAUGUAGGUUCGUGACAACAUAUUUUAUUUAUGAUGAUACAAAACGGCAGUUUCAGUUUACAAUGGGCUUGCCAACUCGUGUUGAUUCAACUUUAACCAUUUGAGUGUAGAGAACAGUGUUUUAUUCAUUCUGUGAAGUGACCACACUGUACUGAAUGUGGUGUUGGUAUGUUUGUCUGCUGAAAGUAACCUAAUUGUUCAGUAUCCAACCUCUGUAAACAGUUUAGAAAAAGGAACCCUGUACACUUAAAAAAAAUGAACAUGAAAUAUGUUGCCAAUACCCUCCACAUCAUUCACUCCACAUCAUAAAUGUAUCUGUUACGGUUUACCGUCCUUGAAGUGUGGAUGGGAAUCAUUUGGUUAGUUGUGGGAUGAUGCAGUCUUGCAAAAGUUUAUUUUCAACUCAAAAAUAAAAUGCUGUCCUUGGAUGAUGUUUGAGAACUUGUGAUCUUAAAUGCCAAUAGUGUCCCCUUUAAGACACUCCAAAGAGGUAUCCUUCUCUUUUCCUUUCAAGUUGUUUUGCCCAGACCCUUGUAUGGAAUAAAUGUCAUGUUUUUUAAACCUUA